rnacentral:rRNA from 1 species
UGGGGAAUAUUGCACAAUGGGCGAAAGCCUGAUGCAGCGACGCCGCGUGAGGGAUGACGGCCUUCGGGUUGUAAACCUCUUUCAGUAGGGACGAAGCGCAAGUGACGGUACCUGCAGAAGAAGCACCGGCUAACUACGUGCCAGCAGCCGCGGUAAUACGUAGGGUGCGAGCGUUGUCCGGAAUUACUGGGCGUAAAGAGCUCGUAGGCGGUUUGUCACGUCGUCUGUGAAAUCCUAGGGUUUAACCCUGGACGUGCAGGCGAUACGGGCUGACUUGAGUACUACAGGGGAGACUGGAAUUUCUGGUGUAGCGGUGGAAUGCACAGAUAUCAGGAAGAACACCGAUGGCGAAGGCAGGUCUCUGGGUAGUAACUGACGCUGAGGAGCGAAAGCAUGGGUAGCGAACAGG